GGGGGGGGGGGUUGGUUGGAAACACCAUCAUACAUGUCUUAAAAACAUAUCAAGGUCUAUUAUAUACGUGUCACCAAUAUUUUUUAAUGCUUAUGCUUGUACUUAUUAUUCAUAACCCAUAAAAAAAGAAUUUUGAUAUACAGAAAAGGUUAGUGGAAUUGGAAGUUUCAUUAGUCAUAUUUUAGACAGGGGAACGGCUUUAGUAGCAUACAAGCUAUCUACUAAUGCAUUGAAAAUUUGUAACCUCUUUCUUCUUGUAAAAUAAUGUCAAAUGUCUUCCUUUUUAGUUUAGCCAUGUUUUUCUUAAAAGAUUAUAACAUAAAUUUUAGUUUUCCCCAUUAUACUACGUGAAUUUAAGACAAAGAAAAAUAGACAUGGGCAUUUGAGAAUAACAAUCGCGAACUAUUCCUAAUGGCCUACAUAUGCGUGUGCCUUCCUGGUUGCCAAGGGCUAAAGUGCAUGACUGCAUGGCAUGAUGCCCGGUGCUGGGCUGCUGGCUCGCUGCAUUUCCCGCUGCAGCCAGCAGGAAGC
rnacentral:lncRNA from 1 species